UCAUGCGAUGCUGAAGGGCUUUUUGGAAGGAGCCGGAGCAUUCUCCUGCAUGGUGCAGCCCCCUGCCCGGCUGCCCUGAGCCUCGUGAUGCUGUGGGGGCUGCAGCCCACCCUCACCUUGCACUCUGCUGCCCUUCAAAUUACUGCACACAGCAACUCUCUUCUGCUUGAGCGUCCGCCAGCAGGUGCCCCAGAGCUGAUGACUUGGAGACAGAUCUUGAAGCUUGGUCAUGAACCCAUGAUGACCAACAGCUUUCUGAUGGUGAUGGAGGUGGAGAAAUCAAGGGCAGCACUGUGCAGUCCUCCUGCGAGCCUGGCUUCCCGGGAAUGGGGCAUUGAUUUAUGAUCAAAGGGGAAAAAAAAAGCAAAGCAGAAUAAAAAGAAUACUUAAGACUUAAAAA